UUACACCCUGGUCGUUCCAACGUUCAGGCUCUCUCGGAUACCACGGUUUCGAAAUUUCAAUGAUCGUACCGUUAUCCUUAAGAAAUUUACAAAAUACCUCGGAACGCGAGCGAUCCGAAUAGGGGAUGUUUAAGAGUGAAACGAUUAUCUGAAGAAGGAUCUGAAAGUGCACAGUUGACAGAUUCGCGACGACGCGGCGGCUUUGUACGCUUCCUCGGUGGGUGGCACGAGAUAUCGGGCAGUUUGCAUAGUUAAAUUGUGUAUCGUUCGGUUUAGUUUUUGAGAAAAUCCCCUGCAUAUUGCGUCCAGGAAUUGCGCGAGGGAAUUGUGCCACCCCGUGGAUCGCUUUGUCGCGAAUGUGUCGGAGGUGCAGAGGAAUGGUAUCGAGCGGUCGUUAACAAUUGCUUCCUGUAACGGAAGAAGACAUCCGUGCUUUUUAACCUCGCGCUGUUUCGCGUGGUCGAAUCGCGUGAAUAAGACAAGGUCUUAUUUUACGACAAUAGCACAUUAUCGCAUUGCACGCGAAACAGGAGUAUCGCUAUAUUGAUUUCAUUUACAACCGUUAAACCUCUACAACCAAAGACCCGAGCCAAUCAGAUUUCGGAACGAGUUAACGUUAUCAUUCGCCAGUAGGAACACCAACAGCGGUGGAUUCCUCGGUGGGUUGCCUAGCAACGGCAUCCCCGCGGGCUGUCGUUCGAAUUCGAAAUUAGUCACCCUCGAAUGCUGCCUAAACAACUACAAGAGCUGGAGGAAAUAACGCGAAUACCUGUGAAAUAUACUGAUUUAUCGAUGUAUGAUUUUGCCAGAAAGGAUGUUAAAGUCUAUCUUUCUAUUCCCGAAACCGAUGUGAUCAUUUGGGUCGUCGCAGAAUCACCCCUACAUUUAAUAAAUGCAACCAGACCAUUUCAUACUACUUUAUCUAACAAGUUGCAGCUACCCUAGCGCGUUACUAAAAUUUUCCAAGUCCAAUAUAUAUCCUCGGACCCUACUCUAUAAUGUCUCACAUGCUAGGGGAACAAUGAUCAAACAACACUUGGAACUUUUAUAUAUCUUUCUAUGCUACAUAAUUUAGGAUCGCAUAAAGGGAGUGGAAAAGAAAUGGGGAAAGAAGAAAACCAGGUCACGCCAUUCGGGAAGAAUUUAUUGAGAUCUAUCAGAGUUAGAUUCUCACAUCUAAGAAAGCUAUACCAAAUUCGCAGCCGAUUAGCUUGAUAUUACUCGCGAAGAAGGAUUAUUCUUUCGAUUACCAAGUCGCAUCACGAGACUUUACCAUCAAAGGUCCUUUGAUCGAUCAACGUAAUGGAUAUCAAUUCUUCCCAUGUAGAGAUGUAUGAUCCAUGUAAAGAACUCUGAUUUAAUAAAUAAAAUGGUAAUACUUUUUCGCGAUGAUUGUUUCCAUUCUCAGCGUUACGAGUGUUACAAUCAUAUUCAAUUCUGAAUCGAUAACGAUGGAAGUAACACAAAAAUAUAACCCAUCGAAUUGUAGAAUAAAAAAUGUCCAUAGAAUCCUUUGUCCAUUCUAUAACUCCUUUGCGGUAUAUGUAUGAUAAAAUGAAGUACGAUACUUGAUUCGAUGCCACAUUUAUACUUUCAGCCUAUGAAAGCUGUAUUAACAAAAUUAAAUUAUCGACUGUACGAGAAGCAAUGAUAUCGUUCGUCGCGCACUCUGUAUAAAACAACAAUGACUCGAAGGAUCGUCGGACGUAAAGAAUCAGUUUGAAUAAAUUCUCACCCGGUAUCUAUCGAUUUCAUCCAUGUUAUGGGUCCUCGUUCCUGCUCUUGGUUCGGUAUGUCAACAAUAACAGUCGAGACAAGAGGAUUAACGACCGUACAGUUUUUCUAUGAAGCACGAAUUUCCACGAAUUGCUAGGCACUCCCUUCCCCUUCCCGCUAGCAGCGCCACCGUUAAUCUCUCAGUUGGCUCAACGUAAAUAGAACCGUAAAAUCACACGAGAAAAUGUGCGAAUUACGUGAUCAUCGAUCGAAGCUGAAGGGUCCUGUAUCGUGCAACAUGCAAACGCUAAAGACGUCAUGGCAGUUACGCCGACAAUUGGAAUGGAAAUUCAGAGGUGAUCGGCGAUAAUCUACCACGUCGAGGUGAUGCUGGGACCAGCUCCGAAACGAGGCAAAAAAAGCCCACAAAGCGUCGAUCUCCUAGUCGCUGGCAUUCGACUGGGAAUAAGGAAACCGUCGUUACAUCCUCCGUCGUCUCUGAAUAAUGGAGCCAUUCGUAAAUUCGACAAUGUCCGGACACGUCCUCGAACUUUCACGGCAUAACGUCGCGGGAUAGUUUUUAGGACGCCAUGAGGGAAAGGCCGAGGAAAAAAAACGUAUGCGGUCGAGGGUGCGUUUGGAGAUCGAUCAGGAAGUUGGCGCACUGGAACGCGUAAUAUGGAGCCCGCGAUUCAUCCGGUGACGUCCGAAACUCGGCACGGAGAGUUUCGAGCGGUACGACAACAUUGAUUCGUCCAUUAUUCAUUUCCUGGCAUUUUCGAUGAUGGAUCGUCGACGUCGUCGCGCCUCGAGUGUCGCGAAAACGCUCGUAUCAAGCCAUGUGUCCCAAACGUCCACUUUGACGCAGAUUCUUUCAACCCUGUUAUACAUAUACUUGGUGGUUGUUCGCGUAAACGCGUGCUCAGCGAACGCUCUCCGCGUAUUCAGAAAUUACCAAUUCGGUCUAACGCUUGAAUGUUGCUCUUUACUCAGCCUGUCUCUCUCUCUCUCCGUCGCUCUAUCUCGCUCCGUUGACCACCGGCGCGAGGGCGGUCCGCAGAGGGAACGUUAGCGGUUUUUCGAACUUUCUGGAUUCGGAAGACUUCGAAAGCGUUCCAAAAUCGCGAACCGUUAGACGUCUUCGACGCAACGAUGAUUAUUAGCUGUCUGUCGCUCGUCUCGUUAGGAUCGUCAGUAAUCGCUCUCUCUCUCUCUCUCUCUCUCUCUCUCUUACGGACGCCGCGCUUCGGACCGUUACUUCGUCGGACUCGAACCGUCGCUUCGAUUAGUAAUUUUUGCUAUUGUGAUCUGCUUUUGUAAAUAUCAAUUGUUGUGAACUAUAAAUUUAAAGACGAAUACAAUACAUUUUGUGUAAAACUGUUUGAAUAAGCUCUAAAACCUUAGUUUUCAUUUCACUCGCGAUUCGAUCGAUCCGAACAUUUCCAUUUUGCUUGUUAAGUCAACCCGUAAACGGUUAACAUAAUUAUCGUUUAAAAAGUCGUAAUCGUACUCAUCAAGAAAUCAAUAUGGUUCGACGGAUAAAAUGUAAUAAUAAUAAUAAUAAUAAUAAUAACAAUAAAAC